UGGAUAGCUCAAUCGGUUAGAGCAUCGGACAGUUAAUCCGACUGUUGCGGGUUCGACUCCCGCUCCAACCA
rnacentral:tRNA from 1 species